rnacentral:rRNA from 1 species
UACGUAGGGGGCUAGCGUUGUCCGGAUUUAUUGGGCGUAAAGAGCGUGUAGGCGGCCAUGUAGGUCCGGUGUGAAAACUCGAGGCUUAACCUCGAGAUGUCAUCGGAAACCAUUUGGCUAGAGUCCGGAAGAGGAGAGUGGAAUUCCUGGUGUAGCGGUGAAAUGCGCAGAUAUCAGGAAGAACACCAACGGCGAAAGCAGCUCUCUGGGACGGUACUGACGCUGAGACGCGAAAGCGUGGGGAGCGAACAGG